GCGGGUGUGGUGAAACUGGUAGACGCGCGGGACUCAAAAUCCCGUUCCGCAAGGAGUGCCGGUUCGACCCCGGCCACCCGCACCA
rnacentral:tRNA from 1 species